rnacentral:misc_RNA from 1 species
AAGUCGUAACAAGGUUUCCGUAGGCGAACCUGCGGAAGGAUCAUUACAGAGUUCAUGCCCUUCGGGGUAGAUCUCCCACCCUUGUGUAUCCAUUAUAUGAAGCUUGUUUGGCGGGCGGCUGCCUAGCAUGCCUCGAUUCGCGUCGAGCGCGCCCGCCAGAGGACCCCUAAACUCUGAAUGUUAGUGUCGUCUGAGUACUAUUAAAUAGUUAAAA